GUUGAUCCUACGUGAGAUUUCCGCUAGAGGGAUUGGAUUUAGGCAUGUAAGUGUGUUCGGGCUUGCCCGGACCGCGGAAGGCUGAGUAACACGUCAUUAACCUGCCUUAUGGUCUCUAAUAAUCUCGGGAAACUGAGUGUAAAGGAGGUAUUAAUUUCAAACUGGAAUGUUGAAAUUUUGAACAUAAGAUGGGAUGGCGGUCGAUUAGGUAGUUGGUGAGGUAAUGGCUCACCAAGCCUUUGAUCGGUAGGGGUCGUGAGAGCGAUGACCUCCAGAAGGACACUGAGAUAAGGGUCCUAGCCCUAAGGGGUGCAGCAGCUGCGAAAAUUCUACAAUGCACGAAAGUGUGAUAGGGUAAUCCCUCGUGCUUACCGAGAGGUAGGCUUUUUUUAUGUGUAAGGAGCAUAAAGAAUAAGUGGUGGGCAAGACUGGUGCCAGCAGCCGCGGUAAUACCAGCGCCACAAGUGGAGAUCACGAUUAUUGGGUCUAAAGUGUUCGUAGCCGGCCUACUAAGUUUCUUGUGAAAUCUCUGUACUUAACAUGGAGACUGCAAGAAAUACUGGUAUGGCUUGAGACCGGGAGAGGUAAGAAGUAUUGAUUGGGUAACGGUAAAAUGUUAUAAUCCUUUCAAGACUAACUAAAGCGAAGGCAUCUUACUAGAACGGAUCUGACGGUGAGGAACGAGAGCCAGGGGAGCAAACCGGAUUAGAUACCCGGGUAGUCCUGGCCGUAAACGCUGCGGGUUACGCUCUGCUAAAUUUACGAGACUUAGCGGGGGGGUAGCGAAGGCAUUAAACCCGCCACCUGGGAAGUACAGCCGCAAGGCCGAAACUUAAAGGAAUUGCCGGGGGAGUACUACAAGCGGUGCGGCGUGCUGUUUAAUUUAAUUUUACACAGAGCAACUCACCAAGGGCGACAGCAGGAUGAAGGUCAGAUUAAAGGUUUUACCUGACACGCUGAGAGGUACUGCAUGGCCGUCGUCAGCUCGUGCCGUAAGGUGUCCUCUUAGGUGAGGAAACGAGCAAGACCUAUGCCCAUAAUUGCUAUUUGGGUCGACCAAAGCACUUUAUGGGGACUGCAAUGGAAACAUUGAGGAAGGUGUAGGCUAUGAUAGGUCUGUAUAGUCCGAAUCUCUUGGGCUACGAGCGCGCAACAAUGAUAAGGACAAUGAGCUGCGACUCCGAAAGGGGUAGCUAAUCUCGAAACCUUAUCUCAGUUUAGAUUGAGGUUUGUAACUCAACCUCAUGACACCGGAAUCGCUAGUAACCGGGUAUUAUCAGUGCCCGGUGAAUAUGUCCAUUCUCCUUGGACACACUGCCCGUCAAGCCAACCAAGUAGGGUUAAGACGAGGUGUUCUUAAAUGAGGACAUCAAGUCUUAGCUUUGUGAGGGGGGUUAAGUCGGCACAAGGUA
rnacentral:rRNA from 1 species